CACGUAGGGUGCGAGCGUUGUCCGGAAUUAUUGGGCGUAAAGAGCUCGUAGGCGGUGUGUCGCGUCGGCCGUGAAAACCUGCAGCUUAACUGUGGGCGUGCGGUCGAUACGGGCAUCACUGGAGUUCGGCAGGGGAGACUGGAAUUCAUGGUGUAGCAGUGAAAUGCGUAGAGAUCAUGAGGAAGACCAGUGGCGAAGGCGGGUCUCUGGACAGUUCCUGACACUGAGACACGAAGGCCAGGGGAGCAAACGGG
rnacentral:rRNA from 1 species